AGAGUUUGAUCCUGGCUCAGGACGAACGCUGGCGGCGUGCUUAACACAUGCAAGUCGAACGGAAAGGCCCCGCUUGCGGGGUACUCGAGUGGCGAACGGGUGAGUAACACGUGGGUGAUCUACCCUGCACUUCGGGAUAAGCCUGGGAAACUGGGUCUAAUACCGGAUAGGACCCCUCUUUAGUGUGGGGGGUGGAAAGUUUUUUCGGUGUGGGAUGAGCCCGCGGCCUAUCAGCUUGUUGGUGGGGUAAUGGCCUACCAAGGCGUCGACGGGUAGCCGGCCUGAGAGGGUGGACGGCCACAUUGGGACUGAGAUACGGCCCAGACUCCUACGGGAGGCAGCAGUGGGGAAUAUUGCACAAUGGGCGGAAGCCUGAUGCAGCGACGCCGCGUGGGGGAUGACGGCCUUCGGGUUGUAAACCUCUUUCGCUAGGGACGAAGCUUUUGUGACGGUACCUAGAUAAGAAGCACCGGCUAACUACGUGCCAGCAGCCGCGGUAAUACGUAGGGUGCGAGCGUUGUCCGGAAUUACUGGGCGUAAAGAGCUCGUAGGUGGUUUGUCGCGUCGUCUGUGAAAUUCCGGGGCUUAACCUCGGGCGUGCAGGCGAUACGGGCAAUACUUGAGUGCUGUAGGGGAGACUGGAAUUCCUGGUGUAGCGGUGGAAUGCGCAGAUAUCAGGAGGAACACCGAUGGCGAAGGCAGGUCUCUGGGCAGUAACUGACGCUGAGGAGCGAAAGCAUGGGUAGCGAACAGGAUUAGAUACCCUGGUAGUCCAUGCCGUAAACGGUGGGCGCUAGGUGUAGGGGUCUUCCACGACUUCUGUGCCGUAGCUAACGCAUUAAGCGCCCCGCCUGGGGAGUACGGCCGCAAGGCUAAAACUCAAAGGAAUUGACGGGGGCC
rnacentral:rRNA from 1 species